CAUAAUUUUUUUAAGUCUCCUUCGCCUUAAGCGCAGCGCACUUUUCUUUCCGUCUACCGUAGUGGUUCCACCGGUCUUUGCCGUCCUCUGAGUUCGUCUCCACUAGUGAUAUUCCUAGUGUUGGCCUCUUCUGCCGUUAGUUUCUUAUCUUCAAUUGAUGUCCUCAUAGAUGAGAAGGACCGACAAAGCAAUUGGGACGAGUAUGGGGAAUUCGAUGGAUGAUGCCUGAUGUUAACCAAUCGAGAACGGAGUCUUUCGAUCUCUGUUCUUUUCCUGCAAAUUGGUACUCUCUAGAAAUAUUCUAGAUACUUCUAUUCAAUGCUUUCAUAUAUUCAUAUGAUACUAGUUCGGGUGGUGAUGGAGAGUAAAGUUUGUUUUUUAAUUAAUUUUUGGUUUCUGUAAUUAAUGUUAGUUUUUGCUUUGAUAAAUCGUUCAAGUUAAUUUUUUGUCAGAAUAAGAAAGUCAUUUUCUAAUCUAAUAUAGAUUGAUGAAUGUUAUUAUGUUUUUCCUCCAAAUUCAGAUGAUUGAUUGUACGUCCUAGGUUGAUUCCAAUGUAAAAAAUAAUCAUUUGUGUGAGUUAGUAUGAGACUUGCUUUACAUGUAAAUUUUGUUCUGCCUCUAUUUGGCCUUGUUCAAAUAUGUUAAGAUGUAUGUUCGCGUUGGGGCUUCACGUUAUAGGUAUUUGUUUUUAUACUCUUAACUUCUGCUAAGUGAUUAUAAUGUGCUCUUUACAGGCAGUUGCUAAUAGUAGAGCACAUUUUUAUACCCUGUCAAUAUAUUACCUGUUUGUUCAAAAUUUGUCAGGUGAAGACCAAUGAGCGAUUGAGACAACUACGAACAGGAGAGUGGCGCGGCAAAACAUUAUCCCAGAGGUAUCUAUUCAACUCAAUGAUAGUAUUGCUGCUCUCCUUAACUUCUUUUAAUCAAAAUAGUACUUUUGAGACUUUAUGUGGAUGUUGGAGUUAGCUUCAUUCAUUCUGUUAUCUCGGCACAGGGAGAGGCUUCAUUUGAAAAGGGGCUUUGUUACCUAAAGUUGGCAUUCGACAAUAGUUAAUUGAACACGUGUUGGUCUUCAUAUUGAGUUGGAGCGUGCAAGUUUGUGGCAUCUUGUGGUAAAAGGUUCUUAUGGAUUUGAUGGCCAAACAACAUUAUUCCUUCUUAUAGUUAUGUAUUUCUACUCUUACCGAAUUAUUUUUGUUCAUUGAUUCAAAGAUAACUUCUCAACUUGUUUUAGAAUGAGACGUAGUUGUUGUUGAUUGAAGACAAACUUUGGAACAUAACAAGAGGUCUUCCCUACUGCAUAGAGGAUACUUGUAAAAAUGCUGCAUUACAUAUAUUCUCUACUUGCUAAUCUGUUGAGCAUGUGAUGUAAUUUUAACUUCAACGAUUUGCUAACAUAUUUCUCAUUUUAUAAAUGCAUAGGUGACUACAUCAGACAAUCUUCUUGUCCCAAUUCAAGAGAGUAUCAAAUGGGCAGACACACAAAUGAAUUGGAGAAGAAGCUCCUUGAAAAAAGUAGCAGAAAGAGUGAAAGACAGUUGAAGAAGUGAAGAAAUCUCUUGUUGUUCCAAACUUAGCUAGAUUUUACUUAGGCAUACACUUGGAAUUAGUUAUAGGGAUCUUCUUUUCAUAGUAUUUUACUUUAGUUCAAAUUGUCUAUGGUGAAUGACAUUUGGGUGUAUAUAUUUUAGAAUUGGAUGGUUAUGGCUUCAGGUAUAAUGAAAUGAAUAUUAGCUUUUGCACU